rnacentral:rRNA from 1 species
GACGAACGCUGGCGGCGUGCUUAACACAUGCAAGUCGAACGGAAAGGCCCUGCUUUUGUGGGGUGCUCGAGUGGCGAACGGGUGAGUAACACGUGAGUAACCUGCCCUUGACUUUGGGAUAACUUCAGGAAACUGGGGCUAAUACCGGAUAGGAGCUCCUGCUGCAUGGUGGGGGUUGGAAAGUUUCGGCGGUUGGGGAUGGACUCGCGGCUUAUCAGCUUGUUGGUGGGGUAGUGGAUUACCAAGGCUUUGACGGGUAGCCGGCCUGAGAGGGUGACCGGCCACAUUGGGACUGAGAUACGGACCAGACUCCUACGGGAGGCAGCAGUGGGGAAUAUUGCACAAUGGGCGGAAGCCUGAUGCAGCAACGCCGCGUGCGGGAUGACGGCCUUCGGGUUGUAAACCGCUUUCGCCUGUGACGAAGCGUGAGUGACGGUAAUGGGUAAAGAAGCACCGGCUAACUACGUG